rnacentral:lncRNA from 10 species
ACGGAAAAUAAAAACAGCAGACCUAUGAAGGUCGAAGGGGAAGAAAAGCUGUAUCGAUUGUUGAGAUCUGGCGACUUGUUUAAAUUUCAUCAGCCUCACUUCUAUGAACUCUCAGAGCUGAUUACCAACUCCUACCACUGUUAACCCUCAUCCAGGAACAAGCUUAUGUCUUUAACAUUCUGAGUGGGCUUCAGCAUCCUUGCAUAUGUUCAAUUCUUAAAAACCUGUUGAAAUAAAAGAUCAGGAGACAUAGGAAGGAUGCCAGAAGAGAGCGUGGCCUCACGUGUACCAGCUCUCUGCUCUCCUUUGCCUUGGGACGUUCCAUCCCUGGAAGUUUCCCUGCCCACAUCUUUGUAGAGAGUCCAUUCUCCAAGCUUCAGUGUGUCAUCUGUGAGGACCGUGACCCACCUGGUACAUCGCCUCAGGGCAUUCAUUUCAGGCUCCUUCUAAAUGGCCAAGUUUUCAAGAUUGUUUUGGCUCUAGCAAAACAAGUUGGAACAUUCACAUCAUCCAGUCUCACCAUUAGAGCUGCAGCAAGCUGUUCGUCAGAGUCAUCUUUGGUGACUAUCUGCCUACAGGCAUUCCUUUGCACUCUGGGUGUAGCCCUCAGUGCUGGGCUUACAAAGAAGACGACACAAAAGCAACCAUGAAAAUCUUCUGCCAGCCUAACAAGCAUAGCAAGAAGAUAUAGCCCCACAACCACUUUAUGCACAAAGUUAGAAGCAUAAAAUCUCAUGGAAGGAGACCGAUUAUCUACAGAAGAGGUUGUCUUGCCAUUUCUCUCAUGUUAGAGGUAAACCUCAGGUUCUCCUCCUGCCUUUUGCUAAGUAUAUGUCUUGAUGACAAGCCUUCUGCUGAUGAGCUGUGUUUCUGGACCGAUCAUGGUAGAAGUCAAUUAACGUGU